rnacentral:lncRNA from 1 species
GCUCUUUAAGAAAGAGUUUGCUGACACUAAAAACUGAUUUCAGAUUCACAUAGGAGCUGUGAGCUACAGUUUUUUGGCUCAUACGAUUUUGAUAACUGCCCUCUAAGGGUAGUGCAAGUUAUCCUCAGUUCCAAAUGAGUACCCUGAGAAUGAGAACAUUACAUUUGCUCCCAGAUGGGCAUCAGCCUGCAGAGCUACGGUCUGACUUAAGUCACCCCAAAAUGGAGCCAGUGAGAUUAUCACAUCAUGGGUCCCUUUGGCUGUCCAGCUUGGAAGCCCUUUUAUAAGUGCGGGGCACAGGAAGCCCUCCCGACAUGGCCUUGGACUUCCUUGGUCUGACACCCCGAACCCAUGAGUUGGUUCAGAAGGAGCAGUGAGCGAGGCCUGAUAUUACCACAAAUAAUUUGGUUUCUGAAAGUCGAAAAUGAACCAGAUGGCUUUUAAGGAAAACAGGACACACAUCAGAUUCCAAUUAUAUUAAAAUGAUGACCCAAUUUAGGAAAACACAAAGUGUAAUAAAAAAAUGUUUAAAUAAACAAAAUCUGCAUAUUUAUGAA